UACAUAAUUACACAAAAAAAGUUUGAAUCUAAAAUUCUUUAAUCUUGUCUUGAAUUUUGUAGUUGACUAGUUGUAGACUUGUUGUCUUGUAGAAUGUAGAUUCUUGCGUUCUUUGAACUCUUGCUUGAUCCAUGAAAGUUGAAUAUUUUUUUAUAUAUUCUUGACUCUUUUAACUUGUAAACUUGUAAAAGAAAUGUCUUGACUCUUGGGUUUUGAAUGUAGAUAGAGAUAUAGAAAUGUAGAAUGAGAAUGAGAAUGAAUGAAUGUAGAUUGUAGAGAAUGAGAAUGAAUGAAUGUAUAGAUUGGAGAGAAUGAGAAUUUCAAUAGAAAUGAAUGUAUAGAUUGUAGAGAAUGAGAAUGAAUGAAUGUAGAUUGUAGAAAUGAGAAGAAUGAAUGAAUUAGUCUAGUAGAUUGUAGAAAUGAGAAUCUAGAGAUUAAGGAGAUAUAGAAAUGAGAAGGAUUGAAUGAAUGAAUGUAGAUUGUAGAAAUGAGAAGAAUGAAUGAAUGUAGUAGUCUAGUAGAUUAUAGAAAUGAGAAGAAUGAAUGAAUGUAGUAGUCUAGUAGAUUGUAGAAAUGAGAAUCUAGAGAUUAAGGAGAUAUAGAAAUGAGAAGGAUUGAAUGAAUGAAUGUAGAUUGUAGAAAUGAGAAUCUAGAGAUAUAGAAGAAUAGAAAUGAGAAUGAAAGAAUGUAGAUUGUAGAGAAUCUAGAGAUUAAAAAAUGUACGUAGAGAAAGAGAGGAUGUAUGAAAUAUGAAUGAAUGAGAUAGAUGUAGAGAAUGAAUGUAAUAAUUUAAUAAGAGAAUGUAGAAAAUGAAAUGAAUGAGAUUAUGAGAAUGAGAUAAAUGUAGAAAAUGAAAUUAGAAAACAUAGAUGUUGAAACUUGAAAACAAAAUAAGAGACUUGGAAUUCGAUGUAUUCUUGCUUAUUCUAUCUUGAUUCUUGAUUGGUACUUGAAAGAAGUUGAAGCUUGGGCCUUAGAGACUUGGAACUUGAGAGUUGAAAGAUGGAGAAUGUAAGAGAGUGAGAGAUUUGAAAGUAUGAGAGUAGACAGGAGUUUGAGUGAGUGUCACUUGCAAAUAAAGGGGACUCGAAUGCCAUUUUAUAGGCAAAAAGUUCAGAUUUUGCAAAAUAAAAAAAUAAAU